rnacentral:piRNA from 1 species
UAGGAAUACUGUGUCUAAAGGCUUUUUCU